GUCGAGGGGUAUAUGUCUUCGGAUAUAGAGACCGGCGCACGGGUGCGUAACGCGUAUGCAAUCUACCUUUUACAGAGGGAUAGCCCAGAGAAAUUUGGAUUAAUACCUCAUAGUAUUAUUGAGUGGCAUCACUUAAUAAUUAAAGUCACAACGGUAAAAGAUGAGCAUGCGUCCCAUUAGCUAGUUGGUAAGGUAACGGCUUACCAAGGCAACGAUGGGUAGGGGUCCUGAGAGGGAGAUCCCCCACACUGGUACUGAGACACGGACCAGACUCCUACGGGAGGCAGCAGUGAGGAAUAUUGGACAAUGGGCGCAAGCCUGAUCCAGCCAUGCCGCGUGCAGGAUGACGGUCCUAUGGAUUGUAAACUGCUUUUGUACGAGAAGAAACACUGCUUCGUGAAGCAGCUUGACGGUAUCGUAAGAAUAAGGAUCGGCUAACUCCGUGCCAGCAGCCGCGGUAAUACGGAGGAUCCAAGCGUUAUCCGGAAUCAUUGGGUUUAAAGGGUCCGUAGGCGGUUUAGUAAGUCAGUGGUGAAAGCCCAUCGCUCAACGGUGGAACGGCCAUUGAUACUGCUGAACUUGAAUUAUUAGGAAGUAACUAGAAUAUGUAGUGUAGCGGUGAAAUGCUUAGAGAUUACAUGGAAUACCAAUUGCGAAGGCAGGUUACUACUAAUUGAUUGACGCUGAUGG
rnacentral:rRNA from 1 species